UUCAUUUUUCUGUGGGUCACCACAGGAUAUUUGGGAUCCACAUAUUGAUUUGGCUUUUCUAACACAUCUCCAGCUGUAUAAGGAGAAUGA